rnacentral:rRNA from 1 species
GACGAACGCUGGCGGCGUGGAUUAGGCAUGCAAGUCGGACGGUAGGGCUUUAUCGUAAGAUAGAGUUUGAGAGUGGCGAACGGGUGAGUAACACGUAGGAAUCUACCCUUAAGACGGGGACAACCCAGGGAAACUUGGGCUAAUACCGGAUGAGAGUGCGAGAGAUUGCAUUUAAAAGGAUGGCGAAAGUUGUCGCUUAGGGAUGAGCCUGCGGUCUAUUAGUUAGUUGGUGAGGUAAGAGCUCACCAAGGCGAUGAUAGAUAGGCGGCCUUAACGGGUGGUCGCCCACACUGGGAUUGAGAUACGGCCCAGACUCCUACGGGAGGCAGCAGUAAGGAAUAUUGGGCAAUGGAGGCAACUCUGACCCAGCCAUGCCGCGUGCAGGAAGACAGUCUUAUGGAUUGUAAACUGCUUUUAAUAGGGAAUAAUUUCGAUUAUGUAUAGUUGAUUGCAGGUACCUAUAGAAUCAGCAUCGGCUAACUCCGUGCCAGCAGCCG